rnacentral:lncRNA from 1 species
GCACAGAAGACGAAGAGCUGGAAUAGAGCUCGCCUCGGCUCUGCUGGCCUUGGCUGCAGCUCUUCCAGAAACCCGGGGCGCCCACAGAAGAAUCUCUUACCUGGCUCUCUCUUCAGGGAUGACAUCAUCGGCUCACACCAGUCUUCCAGGACCACCUUCUGGAUGCCAAGGCUGCUGCUCGAGUACCUGCUGUGCACCUCUACCUCCUGGUACCCCAGCCACUCCCUCAAGUUGCCUGCAUGUUAUAUGGCCUAGCCAAGGAGCACGGAUUCCAGGAACCCACUACCAUACAGAGCAACUCCUUGUGGACCCCCCUGGGAUCAGGACAGCGAGGGACAAGCGACAAAGAGGAUCAUCAGUGGCCAGCUAGUUUCUCUGGGGUUCAAACCUUGAACCAGUGCCCUAGUGAGGGGGCACUGGCCAUGGCCCUUGACCUUUGCUCUGCUUGUGUCUUGAGUCUGAGCCCUUUCCUGUACAUCUGUGCUCGUGUUCAUCUGCUAGUGAACUGGAGUGCUGCCCUCCCCGAGGAGGGUCGUCCCUUGUGACUGAUCAUGCUGUCCUAACAAUGUCCUGAGCAAAAGGGUCCCUUUGGGAACCUCUCAGGAGGGGGACCCGGGUCAGGGGCGACCAGCAUCUUGCUGGCAACUCCGUGGGUGGGGUGGGGUGGGGUGCUUCCUUCUGGAAUGAGCACGUGGCUGACCCCCCAAGGCAUGUCCCCUCCCCCUCCUCCACCCACCUUCUCGGAGAUGUCCCUUUUGGGGUAGUGGGGACAUUAGGAGCAACCUCCUAGGGUUGUUGUGAGAAUUAAAUGAACUGCAGCAGCCUGAGGCAGGGCUGGGCAGAGACCUCAGCACAUGUUUGUUGAAAGGUUUGCAGGUGGAUCUAGUCCUCCCGUUCAUGGCUCAUGUGUCUCAACCAUUCUCUCGCAGACUCCUGCAGCCCCUAUGCCCAGGGCUCUCCUUGCGCCAGCCCCGGCUUCUCGAGGCCUGUCUACACUCGCUGCUUUCCUUCCUCACCUCCAAUUUCCCCUCCAACCCACUGCUUCCUGACUCGCUCUUCUCCAUCGAACGGCUCUCGCUCAGGCCUGUCGCGUCUUCCUGUGCCAUUUGCUGUUGUGCUCAGGUUCCACGAGCUGCCCAUCUCCACAGAAGAGCAGCUGGCAUUGCCCACCGGCCAUGCCGGCUGAAGAAAAGAAGACUGAGGACCCCAGGAUGCCCAGCGCGAGGACCCCAGGAAGCCCAGCGCGAGGACUCCACCCACGACGCCCAGCGCGAGGACUUCACGCACAACACGUUGCAACCCUCCUGGAUUAGGCCAAAGCCAUCAUCUGGAAUCCUGCGUGGGACCCUGGACACACGGACACAGACACCUGCCCCCAGGACCCUCCAACUGUAAAUCCCUCUACAGCCACGGGGACGCCUUGCACAUUUCCUGUGGGACAUGCUGGACCCAAGACUCUGGACCCUGGCCUCCCCUUGAGUAGAGAGACCCACCUACUGACUGAUGAACUGCGCUGACCCUGGGGUCAGGCAUGUGGCCUUGAUCCCUACCCAUGGACCCUGAGACUUGGGGGGGUGGGAGAAAGGCUGUUGUGUCUUCACUGUUGAGUCUACAUCUGUGAAAUGGGCUCAGGUUCCUACCUCACAGGGCUGUUGUGAGGCAGCCGCAAUGUGCUUAGAAGCAUGGGGCCUAGUGGCUCAUGGUGCUUUCAAUAAAUUUCUUGUUUUAACUAAAGCA